GCUAGGACUGAGACAAACUUUCAACCUAUGACUUGCCAAUUCCGCGCUACUAAACAAUUGAAACAGAAGCUGAUAGAUAGAAAGGCCAUUAAGAAAACAACGUGUUUGAAAUGGCCAAUGCUACCCAAAAGCCAGAAACAACAAGGACAGGCACCAAGCUACAACUUCAACACUUUCAGCAGCUGAAGUGUGAAGUGAGGUCCCACUACUGCAAUCACGUUUACUAUCACAUUUCACAUAAAUACAAAAACUAAGCCAUAAAAUUUACAAAU
rnacentral:misc_RNA from 1 species